GCGGAAGUGGCGAAAUUGGCAGACGCACCAGACUUAGGAUCUGGCGCCGUAAGGCAUAGGGGUUCAAGUCCCCUCUUCCGCACCA
rnacentral:tRNA from 1 species